GCCAGGAGCAGGGGGGUGACCAGGGAGCGGUGGCUUCUCCACACCCCACAGUGACGGGGACAGAGCCUGGCAGUGUCCCCCUCUUCCCCAGCUCCGGACCCCCCACGGCAAAUCCACCAGGGACGGGGUGACACCACGGCUCAGCUCCACCUCGGAGUGUCACCUGCCCCGGCCCCACCACGCAGGGGGACUCAGGGAUGGGGCGUCACAGCCGGCAAAGUGUCACCUUCCUUGCUGUCACCUCCCCUGUCACCCUGCUUGUCGGGGCUGCGGGGCGGAGAUGGGGCCAUGGGGUGGAGAUGUGGCUUCAAGAUGGAGAUGGGGACAUGGGGUGGAGACUGGGACAGGGGAUGGAGACGAUGGUGGGAUGGAGAUGGGGACAUGGGGUGAAGAAGAUGGUGGGAUGGAGAUGGGGACAUGGGGCAGAGUUGGGGACGUGAGAUGGAGAUGGGAACAUGGGGUGGAGACUGGGACACGGGACGGAGAUGGGGACAUGGGAUGGAGACGAUGGUGGGCUGGAGAUGGGGACAUGAGAUGGAGAUGGGGACACGGGAUGGAGAUGGGGACACGGGAUGGAGACGGGGACAUGGGGUUGAGAGAGGGCCAUGGGCUGGAGAAGGGACGCGUGUGCUGCCAUCAGGGGAUGGUGCCAUCUCAGCUGGGGUUGAGGUGCCACCAGGGAGGAGCCGGGUUGCCACACCGCGUCUCUGGUAGCCCUUUUCCCCAGCUGUCCCCAGGUUUGUGGCAGCCCCGUGCCCUGGGUGGCAAUCCACGGUGGCACUCUUGUCGUGCCACCCUCGGGGACACCCUUGGGGACACCAGCACCCUGAAAACCUCCCGAUGUCUCUCCCAAGCGCCAAACGAAGCCCGGAGGGACCGACACCACGACCUCCUCCUGCCACCGGCAACAAUGACACGGCUACGGGGCCACCACCGAUGCCACCGAGGAUGUCACCGUUGGCCGACAGUGUCCGUACGGAGCCGGAGGACGGUUCCAGCACCGGCUCUUCCCGACGGAUCCCGUGGUUCUGGUGGAACCUGGUGUUUGCCAGUGGCACCCGGUGUCCCAGAGGUGGCCCUGGCC
rnacentral:lncRNA from 1 species